rnacentral:lncRNA from 1 species
GGAGUUUCUGGCUCCAGCAGCAGGGUGAAGGAUGGGCCCACUUCCUGAUGGAGGAAACCCGAGCAUGGGAGUGGGCUCCGGGAAGAAGGAAGUGGUUUGCAGGGAUUGUGAGGGCUGAGUGGAGCCAUCCUGUGGGCAGUCAGAUGUGUGGGUCUGGAGUUGGGGGCCAGAGGUGUGUAUCAGGUGAUAGGGUUAAAGGUAGCUGGAUGUGUGGGAACAGGAGAGCUGGCUUAGGAAGAGUUAGACUCAAGGAGUUGAUGGUGUUAGUUCCAGUGGUGCCCGGAGGGUUGAAGAGGGAUGAAGACAGGUGGCACUGGCCAGCCCAGGACAAAGGAAAGAGAGGAGAUAGGGUGACAACUUGUGUUAUUGUUCUUGAGUUUCUGGUGACUUUUUUCCCUUAAUGUGAAUAUUCGUCCAAAGGAAGAAACAUGAGUUUUACAGUCAGAAGGCUGUUCUAUGAUUACAAAUAGGAAUCAAUUGAAAGUGAACACUGGGGAGGGCUGAGAGAAUGCCCAGGUGCCUGAAUGAUGAAGCUUUUUAGUGUAUGUCCACACACUAUACCCUGGUUCGGCACAUCAGCACCCACGCAGCACGUGAGACUGUUAAGCCACCUCCCAGGGGCCUGCCCUGCUUCUCCCACUGCCCAGCGCUGACUGGUGGCCGGCCAGCCGCUCCUUGAACUUCAGGGUUACACCUGCUGAGGAGUCCUUCCCAGUGUUGGAGAGCUUGGAUUUUAGUGAGUUUUUCUAUGUGUGAAGUCGUGACCCACCCCUUGAAGCAUUAAUCCAGCUUUGUUAUGUGAAGGAGGAAUACGGUUUCCCUUUUCCUAAUUCAAAUGUGUGCACCUUAAAGUACGCACUGAAGUCACUUUACAGAAAGAAGGAGCCCUUGUCACUCCCCCCAGCCCACCCCCCAACUUGUUUGUUUGUUGGCUCAGACAUUCAGUCAGCAAGCGAAUAUUUGAGUGUCUUCCUCCUUCCUGCUAAGCACCGGGGAUACAAAGAUGAGAAUACACAAUCCUCACCGUUAAAGCUUGUGUGUAAUGAAGGUCUGUGGGCUGCUUUAUUCUGUUUUGUUUUGUUUUGUUUUCUUUUUUCCUUAUGUCCAGUUUCGAAUAUAAAGUGGUUCCCUUCUUGUCUUUUAUAAGGGCUGUCUAGUGUCCACUCUGUCAGUUCACGGAUGUUUUCUCAGUUCGUGAGCAUUUGACUUGUCUCUAGUCUUUGCUGUUAUAAAUAUUACUGAGAUGAACAUUUUGUUCAGGGCUAUUUUUUUCUUUGAGUUUAUUCACUUGGGGCAUAUUCCCCAGAGUGGGACUGCAGGGUUAGAGGUUGGU